rnacentral:sRNA from 1 species
UCAGGCAGCGUUUAACGAUGCGUUAACCUUUCUGUUUUAGAAAGAGAUACAUCCAGAUUGUCUGGAUCCUAAUUAGGAUCUCUGUCCAGUCUGUUUGAUGCCUCCCUGUAAGACUCGUGACAGCCGCUCCUCUGGAGCGGCUUCUUUUUU